AUCUGUUUCAUCUUAUCCAGACUCCCCGUCCUCGCGGCGCUUUACCUCGCGGCGCUCCGCUCCGCCCCGCCCCGCCCACCUCCUGCUACGGCCCUCGCGCCGCCGGCCGCCUCCUGCCCCGCUCCGCCCCUCACCACGCGCCGCCGGCCUUCUCCUGCCUCCCAAUCCCAUCUCGCGGCUUUCUUCGCCGUUCACCGCUCCCCUCCACCUACUGGUCGCGACCUCGUGGGAGGCAGAGGAUGGGAGGGUGCGGCGCUGGCGUCUGACUCCAGGAGCUCGAGAGGGCCGAUCUGCGCGUCGGCGACCUCGCGGGAGGCAUGGCGUGGCGUGUUGCGCUCGAGACGAGCGGGCUCGAGUAAGGGGAUUGGAGGGUGGCGCCGGCGGGAUCGUGGACGGGGAUGGAGUGGGCGGGUGCCGGCAAGAUCGAGGCCGGGGAUGGAGAGGGCGGUCGGCGAGCUGGCGGCUGAGGAUGGAAGAGGCGGCACUAAUUCGCUGCUACCCGCACCGCACCACGUCCCUAGCUUCCUCCUCUCUGAUCGAACCGAGUCCGUUUUACAAAGGGAUCCGGCGACUAGAGGGGAGCUGCCACCGGUGACGCUGCCGGAGAAGCUGGCGAGGUUCCUCCAGAAGUGCGCCGAAGGAGUUCCAGAACGAGCCCCGGUAUAGCGGCGACCGGUGGUACCUUCGCGGCUGGGUUCCAGAUGGGCUACGAUUACAAACUCCGUUGAUUAUUCACGCUCUGGUCGAUGCUCUGUCGGCAGCCCACUAACCAGGCAACUCUAUCGUUGAGGACGUGUGUACCGCAGGAGGAUCCCUGAUGCUUUGUUGCUCCUGUGACCUUCAAUUUGUUGUGUGGUUGUCUACAAACGUACAGUAGCUUCAUUCAAAUUAUUUUUAGAAAUUGCUAGACGAAUUUUUUUGUAGAGCUGAGAGAAAAGAUGCAUAGACAAUAGAAUUAUGUUCAGGUUUGCAAUAAUUCGUUCUAUUUGCUUGCAAACAAAUUGCACAAGCCGUUCAUUUGUUGGAUGAUGUUUGCAUGUAUUUCUAGCAAGUUAUAAAAACUGAUGGAAGAUGCUUUGUGUAUUCUUUUGUGUGUCUAUCAGAACAGGCAUGGUGGGAGGGCGAUGCUCUGUUGACUGCUUUUCUUAUAAUAUUACAGAGGGAGGAUCGAAGUGGAGAUUGGUACUUUCCCUUUCAGCGGCCAAAGAAAAGCAACACUUUUUCAUGUGAUUUCAGAUGAAAUGACCAGAGUGUGUAAAAUCUGGAUCGCUACAAACAGGUCAAGAAUAACUUCUCCAAGCUCUCAGAAGAGAAGCAAUAAUGUGACUCCCAGGUGCCUCUCUGAGAGAAAAGCUGGAGAUGCUUUGCCAGUGGCAAAACAAAGGGAAGUAAUUGCUACGGACGCCAACCAGGUGUUCAUGCUAUUGGAUUAAUGUUUUCUGCUCUUAAUAAUGCUUCCGUUUUUCUUCUUUUAGAACCCUUCUUUUGUACUCUUACAAAUAGCAGAUGAAAGGAGAAGGAUGAAGAAGUCAAGCUAUUGGAGAGAUCAAUUGAGGAGCUCAAAAGAACUUUAGUGUUCUCAAAAGUAGAUUUAUUUAGUUUGAGUGAAUUUUGUGGCCUAAGUGUUGUAGCUAUUCAUUUUGCCACGCAUUCUGAAUGUUAGUACACACCCAUGUUGGUACAGAACUCCUAUUGUUAUGCCUGUUAUGACAACAACUUUCCCAGAUUUUUGUGCAUAAACAUACAUAUGUGGACUAAAUUCUUUUGUUA